UUCUAGUUGAUCUUCUCAAUGGGUAUUGUACUUGAUGCUGAGCUGGAUCUUGUAAUACAGGUAUAUGUUGUACAGGAGACAUAGGUUGUAUAGGAGGCAUAGGUUGUACAGGAGACAUAGGUUGUAUAGGAGGCAUAGGUUGUAAGGCGACAUAGGUUGUAUAGGUUCCAUAGGUUGUGUAGGAGCCAUUGGUUGAACAUCAAGUUGGUUUAGGUUUUCCGGUUGAAGGAAAGGGGUGAAUCUUUGUAGUUCUGGGUAUCUUCGCAUUAUUGCAAAUGUUAGUGUCAGUAAGGAAACAGUGAUAUAAAGAAAGGAAUCUGCAGAAAAGAAAAAA
rnacentral:lncRNA from 1 species